rnacentral:rRNA from 1 species
CGAGCACGCGCGUGUGGCAUAUCAAUAAGCGGAGGAAAAGAAACUAACAAGGAUUCCCCUAGUAACGGCGAGUGAAGCGGGAAGAGCUCAAAUUUGAAAUCUUAAAGGGUUUCCCUUUACGAAUUGUAGUUUAAAGAAGUGUUUUCUGUUGAAGUUUUGGUAAAAGUUCUUUGGAAUAGGACAUCAUAGAGGGUGAGAAUCCCGUAUUUGACCAUUUACUUUCAGCUUUGUGAUACACUUUCAAAGAGUCGGAUUGUUUGGGAAUGCAGUCCAAAAUGGGUGGUAAAUUUCAUCUAAAGCUAAAUAUUGGCGAGAGACCGAUAGCGAAUCAAGUACCGUGAGAGAAAGAUGAAAAGAACUUUGAAAAGAGAGUUAAACAGUACGUGAAAUUGUCAAAAGGGAAGCGUUUGACACCAGUGUUGUUUUUCUGAAAAUCAAUUAAAGAACUGUUUAUGCUAAGCUGUUUAGACUUUAUCAGCUAAUCUGUUUAGUUUUGAGCUUUUCUUUAAUGCACUUUUCAGUUAACAAGUCAACAUCAAUUUCUUUUGCUGUAAAAAAGCUUGAGGAAGGUGGCUUGAGAUUCGUCUUAAGUGUUUAUAGCCUCUUGCCUAUGCAGUCGGAGAGAUUGAGGUCUGCAGCGUAGAUCCUUCGGGGCUAAAUGCAUUUGUGCUAAGGUUAUAGCAUUUUAUAGACAACUUGUUGACUAUGAUUUGUCUUGUAGCUUACUCGCUUAUGUUAUUUUACCUACGCUUAGGAUGUUGACGAUCAGCUGAGCGCG